rnacentral:piRNA from 1 species
UCUGCGGUGAGUCGAGACUGAGCUUGA